CUUGUAGUCUGUGGGAGGUAAGGGAUGAUCUUCACGUAAGUAUGGGUUUAAUCUGCGGGAAUCUGAGCAAAUCACUCGUUUGUGCUAGUUGUGAGAUCUGAAUGAGAGCACACAGAGCACGUAAGCAGUAAACUGCCUGCUGUUCUGAUAGCUACUGCUUGAGCAUUGCACGCCUGUUCUGUCAGCAACCAGGCUCCACACUUUGUCCACUGAUGUCAUCACUCCAUCAGAGAAGGCCACCAUAUUGGUUGGACACGACCUUCCCUUGAUGAAGCCAUGCUGUCUGUCUCAGAUCACCCGCUCAUCUGUCAUGUGCC
ensembl:lncRNA